rnacentral:rRNA from 1 species
CACGUAGGGUGCGAGCGUUGUCCAGAAUUAUUGGGCGUAAAGAGCUCGUAGGCGGUGUGUCGCGUCGGCCGUGAAAACCUGCAGCUUAACUGUGGGCGUGCGGUCGAUACGGGCAUCACUGGAGUUCGGCAGGGGAGACUGGAAUUCCUGGUGUAGCGGUGAAAUGCGCAGAUAUCAGGAGGAACACCGGUGGCGAAGGCGGGUCUCUGGGCCGAUACUGACGCUGAGGAGCGAAAGCGUGGGGAGCAAACAGG